rnacentral:lncRNA from 1 species
GACUAGAAACCAUCUGUGAUUUUAAAAAAAAUAUGGAUUUGUACUUAAUAGUUUGUUUAUCUGACUGAAAUGAUUUUCAUUUGUCUUUGAACUUUUUUCAGCACUCAGACAGAGGGCGCCCUUGGACCAGUAAAAAGCGUCACUGUGAGGACGAAUAUGAACAAUAGAAGAGCAGUUAACUAUUUUUAAAGG